rnacentral:rRNA from 1 species
ACUCAAAUGAAUUGACGGGGGCCCGCACAAGCAGUGGAGCAUGUGGUUUAAUUCGAUGCAACGCGAAGAACCUUACCUGGGCUCGAAAUGUAGAGGACGUUACAAGAGAUUGUAAUUCCCGUAAGGGUCUCUAUAUAGGUGCUGCAUGGCUGUCGUCAGCUCGUGCCGUGAGGUGUUUGGUUAAGUCCAGCAACGAGCGCAACCCUUAUCGUUAGUUGCCAACGCGUCAAGGCGGGAACUCUAACGAGACUGCCUAGGUUAACUAGGAGGAAGGUGAGGAUGACGUCAAGUCCGCAUGGCCUUUAUGUCCAGGGCUACACACGUGCUACAAUGGUCGGUACAGAAGGCAGCGAAGCCGCGAGGUGGAGCAAAUCCUAUAAAACCGAUCUCAGUUCAGAUUGCAGUCUGCAACUCGGCUGCAUGAAGUUGGAAUUGCUAGUAAUGGCGUGUCAGCAACAACGCCGUGAAUACGUUCCCGGGCCUUGUACACACCGCCCGU